GGCCUUAUGGUCUAGUAGUAUGAUUCUCGCUUUGGGCGCGAGAGGUCCUGGGUUCAAUUCCCAGUGAGGCCC
rnacentral:tRNA from 1 species